ACAGACCUCAUUAACAGGAGCUGGGGAACUGGACCUGUUGGACUUGGAGCCAUUGGAGCUGGAAGGCCCUAGAGAAAUGUUGCACCUACUUGCAGAAAUCUUUACAGCAGGAAGAGGGAGAGACAGGCCACUGAAUCCUAGAAAGUGCCCGCCAUAAUCUGCAAGUGGACAUUUUUGAAUGGCUGGAACUCUCCCCUGGGGUGUGAGAGCUUUGAAAUUUCAGAUUGAGGACCUGUGAUACCUACUCCAAAUGGUUUGGAAAGUUCUACAAGAUGACCCACAUCAAGUGGCUGGCAUAUGUGGGAGCCCUAUAUUAAACUUAACUACCAUUCUCAGCAAGUCCUGUGCUCAACCACGGCACUACAAGCUGUUAAGUCAUGGAGAGCAUCUGUGUGGCAGGCAACAGUCUCAGAAAGCCUCGGAAAGAUGUCCUGCCCUGAGCAUAGCAUGCCCUUCCUGCAGGGCUGAGGAAGGAGUCAAUGCCCAUGGAACCUCCCAUAUCACCAGGUGGAACCAUGGGCUCUCUUCAAGCACUGCACUCCCAAGAGGAAAAAACAACAGCCAGAAAACUCUCUACUCUCCUCCUGCAAUCAAGAACCAAACUGCUGUGCACAUCAACUCAUGCAAACAGGCCUGGGUAGGGGCCACCCAAAUCCCCUCUCUGCUGAUCUGGCUCUAGCUCGGCCUGGACAGCAGCUUUCACAUUCUGUCAGUCAUUCUGCAAUCUUGUGAGCUAGCUAGCAUUAUCCUAUCCCAUAAGAUUGCCUUAAAUUAGAUUUAGAACAGGCCAAGCCUAUCCAGCAAGCAGCAAAUUUAUUGAAUCGCCAUCCAUCCUCCACAGCCAGGGAUUUGAUUAUCUUAAGGCACAUUGCUGGAAUGCCUGGACACCCGCAUGUAACUUCCCUUUCUGGCUUCCUUUUUCUUGCUAACUGUUUGAGAAUAUCCCUGCUGAUACCCUAUCUUUGCUGGCUAUGGUCUUUUAUGGCCCCUGAUAGGAUCCCAGACCACCCCUGGUAUGCAAAAGUUUUAGACAACUUAGGGUCUGUGAAAACAGAUGCCAAUUUUGGCUCCAGAAGGCUAGGAUGGUAGGAAACGUUAGGGUCUGGCUUAGUUGUGUUGUUUACUCUGGACGGCAGGAAGAAAAAGAGGUCCUGGAAAACCUGAACGUAAAAGCCUGCCAUCAUGCCAUCCAUUAUGGGUGGAGGAGGGGCCUUUGAGAUUUAGAUAAACCUGGGUCAAAAGGCUCGCCUGAUUUUAUCCAUCUUUUUAACGGGAACUCGGGAGACAUAGGAAGCCAUGACCUCUGUGCGGGCAUCCUAGUAUCCAAACACAGGUGAGGAAACAGAGACUCAGAAAGGCUGAACAACCUGCCAAAGUUCACACAGCUGGGCCGUACUAGGAAAAGGUGGCUCCAAACUGGAAGGUUCGAAGGCGGAGCCCUUGCUUCAGGCCAGGAUGGUCACAGAACCUUUUCUCAAGCUGAAAAGCUACGCUCAUCAUGACCUCAGGCUGCUGCAGUUUCUAGGACCUGCAAAGAGAAUGCCUGGGGGUCCUGGACUUGGGACUAUGGGAAAUAAUUA